UACGAAGGGGGCUAGCGUUGCUCGGAAUGACUGGGCGUAAAGGGCGCGUAGGCGGAUGGUACAGUCAGAUGUGAAAUUCCCGGGCUCAACCUGGGGGCUGCAUUUGAUACGUGCUGUCUUGAGUUCGGAAGAGGGUCGUGGAAUUCCCAGUGUAGAGGUGAAAUUCGUAGAUAUUGGGAAGAACACCGGUGGCGAAGGCGGCGACCUGGUCCGAGACUGACGCUGAGGCGCGAAAGCGUGGGGAGCGAACAGG
rnacentral:rRNA from 1 species